CAGCGAGAACCGGUGAGACGGCCAGUGUGUGUGCUGUGGAGACAGUGAGAAAGACAGGGGCAGAAGAUGCGUUGUGGAGGAGGAAGGGGAGACGGGACCACGAGAAGUCUCUAGCAUUUGGUCUGAGUGAGAUGGAAAUCCAUUGAAGUUUUAAACAAAGGAAUGACAAGAUUCGACUUGCAUAUUGAGAGGAUCACCCCUUCCAUAUUCGAGAGGCAGAGAAGAAAGGACCCAUUUUAACCCCUCCCUCCAUCAACUGUAUGAACUUCGAACCUACAAAACCUGAAUCUGACCUUGCAUAGAAAAUACUGUGGAAUGACCUAAAUGUACAAUCAACAAAGCUUUAGGGUAACCCACCUAUUUUUGUGAUGCUUCUAUAUGAGCCCUUAGGAGUGUGUCAAAGUGGACAGACACUCUGGCUGCAGGAGCCCCUACCACAGAGACCCCGCCUCAGAAGAUGCAUUCAUAGACAAAGAGCCUGUAUCAAGCUUCCUCUCACUCUGAUGCCAGUGCCCAGAUCCAGACACCAGGGAACGACCGCUGCCCAGAGCUUGAAGAUGGGAGGGUGCAAGGCAGCUGCCAAAAGCUUCUGGAUUUUCCCGGUAGCUGUGACCCAGAGCCCUUCCUCUCUCCUGGCUGUUCUGCUUCAACUUGGACUGUGAAAAUCAUUGACCUGUCUGUCAGCUUUCAGAUCUUCACAAUUGUUCUUAGGUAGCUUCCAGCGAUGCCAGAGAGGAAUCCAUUGAUGCAGGAGUGUUGAUUCGUUAACUGUCUGUAUCUGUGAUCACAUUCAAGACCAUGCACGUGCUCAAGGCUGUGACUGAGACCUGCGCUUGCACAAAGUUACUGGUGUGGCUGCAGCUUGGGGAGGCAAGAAGCCUGAAAUGUGAGUCCUGAUUUUGUCAAAUUAGAGGAGGAAAGACACUGAGGACAACUAUGAAGAAUCCCAUCUUCUGGAGUUUAUCACAAUCCCUUUUCUGCUCCAGACUGUGAGAGUACGCAGGGAGCAUCUCUCUUUGCAAAUGUUCUCAGAGGAAACUGCCACAGAAGCUGAACUCUGACGUACCUGCUGCAUGAUGGGAGGGUGAAUUCCUGUAUUUUACCAGGGAGGAUCCAGAAACCAUUUCCUCCAACGACCAAAGGGAUUUCUGGCUUUCUUGACUGAGAAUUGAAACGAUUUUAAAUUGUGUCGCUGUUCUGGUGGGGCAGAAUGGUCUCCCUGUCAGUGAACUGUCUUCUGUAUUAUUAAGUUAGCAUUGCGUUGGAGUUGAAAAAGCAGAGGCCAAUUGCCAAAUAAAACAAGGUGUAUGUGUUCUGAUGUUAAUGGUUGACUGGAAAAUGUCUUUAUCUUUCUCAAUGACUGGUCAUUUUUUCUUUAACCAUAUGGAAAUAUAAUUCAGCUGGAUUGCCCAUUAGGAGUUAUGAAUUUCAAGUGUAAGAAAAAAAAC
rnacentral:lncRNA from 1 species